UGGGAGUUUAGAACAAAUAAUCUUUAUAAUUGUGAAUACAGUUGCGGUUAAAAGUAGUCUUUGGUUAUAUAUAAUAUUUGGUAAGAUUCAAGUUUAAACCGCUAGUGGACAUUUAGAAAGUACAAGAUUUACAUUCUUCAUUUGCACCAAAAUGGCACUGUGUAUCACAAAUUAUACUCUUUUUUAGAUUCUUAGGGCAUCUCUAUCCUCACUCCAUUUUUUCCUCUAAAAUGGAAUAAAAGUGAAUAUGG
rnacentral:lncRNA from 1 species